UCCGCCCUUCUCCUCCGCCAUUAAGCACACUGGCCAGAUGCUCCCAGUAAGCAGCAGCAGCAGCAGAGCCAGCGAGGAAGAGGAUGAGGAGGAAUUGAUGGGGAGCUUUCCCUGGCGAAAGGUAGGGAAACUCCAUGGCGUUCAGCUCAUCAUCAAAAGAACCACAUGAGCCUCCAAAGUCCCCGAGGGCAGGAGAAGACGCAACGGGUGGGAACUGAUCAAGGAGAGAAGAAAUCUGGAACUAAGGAACCAUUUCCUGACAGGAGACCCAUUGACCAGUGGCCUCCAGAAGGGCCGCUGAGGAUGGGACCCAGCCUGGGAAGCUCAACGGGAGGUUUGGAGGACACACCAGCCAAAAUGAAGUCCCGGCUACCAGGAUUGCCUCCGGUUCCACCCAGAGGGCAGAGCUGGGAAAGAACUAGCGAUGGGAUUCCGUCCCUGGAGCUCCUGGCAACGUCUGCAGGGAAUCUCGGGAAUUACGGGCAGGUCUACGGACUGAACGAGAGCCUCUCGGCCUCCAAUAUGGCCAACACUCUCAUUUCCUCCGCUGUUGAGCCCGGAUUGUGUUUGAUGAUUCGUUAAUGGAUUAGCCAAUAUGAGGCCGUCCAAUCCCGGAGGACAUUUCAGGGGGACACUGUUGCUCAGUGGCUAAGACACUGAGCUUGUCAAUCAGAAAGGUCGACAGUUCAGCGGUUCAAAUCUCUAGCACCGCGCAGCACGUAACAGAAGCAUCAGCUGAGGGCCAAUCUUUGUGCAUCAAAAGGACUUACCAGCAAAGUUGGGGAAUCUUCCUUGGAAGGCAAUAAAUACCUGGACGCCUCCUGAAAUUCUCCUUCGGAUGCAAGAAAAGGAGAAAGCAGCGUGAGGCACAUCUUGAACUCCAAAGGGAAAAUAUCCUUGAUGCGAUUUAACUGCAGAUAUUGAUCAUAUCUUUUCUGGAUACAAUCAGUCUUCAAAAUUAAAAAAAAAUCUGUCUGGCUUCUGCCUGUUUUCAUUGUGAAGAAAAAGUCUGGAGAUAAGCCCAUAAAUACUGACCCCAGAGACCUCCUGUUGCCCCCACAACCAUCGAGAAGGAUGAGGUGGAUGGAUGGAUAGAUGGAUGGAUGGAUGGAUGGAUGGACGGACAAUGAGAGAUAAUUCUUCCCCUUUCUCUUCAAACACAUAUACCAAGGCUGAAAAGAGCCACUUCCUGGAACUUACCACCAAUUGCUGAACAGCCCAAGAGCAGAAUAAAAUAUGCUGCCUCUCUGGAUCUGCCACCUCCUGAAAACGAUAAAUAGGAGACACAUGGAGGCAUUGAGAUAAAUUGGAUUUAAAUACUGGAUAUGGGAAUAUUUUUCAAACUCAUAAUGGAAAUUGAUUGGAGGGAAUAUCAGUGCUUGGAAUGUUUAACUUUGGGCUUUCUACCAUGAAAUGCUAUAUGAAUUGGCCCACACCAGCAUUGGGUCCUCUAGAAAUGAAAAACUGAGAAUGAGGAGAGGAUGGUGAGCUGGGGGUCCUAUACGGGCGUUCCUGGAGGGGGAUUCCCAGGGAAAGAAUUUGGGGCAGACCCUUUCCCCACACACAGCGAAGCAAAUGGGGGAUCAUUCAUGAACUGAGUCCCAAUUCCGCAGCUGUCCAGAACAGACACCUAAUACAGUUAUUUAAAACGGGGAGUGGGAUUUUCAAAGAAUCGCACUUUGAGGACUAGAGAAAGGAGUGAGGUUUACUUAAAUCCUGACUGAUUCUCAAACCACCCAGGAAAUCUCCCAAAAUUGGCUUACCUUUGCCAGAGAAAAUGGAAAUUCCAAGGAAGCAAAGCUCCCCCUUGACCUGAGAAGAAACAGCUGUGAGGCACUUGUGACACCUGAACUCCCCCUGAGUUUGAGCAAAGCUGCCCCACAAAAGACCUUCCCUCAAUGGGGAUAGUGAAUUUCCCCCCAGGACCCAGCUGUUCCCCAGAACUCUCUUUGAAUCCUCUGGACCUGUGGCUCCCCUUAUGCCAAGAUCCAGGGGCCUUCUAUGUAAGGAGAAGGAGCUGCCAGGAAGCCCUCCCCGCAAUUCAUGCUGCAAACAAUUCCUCUGUAGGGCAAGAUCCCCACCUCUCCCACACUCACCUCC